ensembl:lncRNA
UAUCAACCCACAACAACAGACCUAUCAACCCACAACAACAGACCUAUCGUCCCCACAACAACAGACCUAUCAACCCACAACAACAGACCUAUCAACCCACAACAACAGACCUAUCGUCCCCACAACAACAGACCUAUCAACCCACAACAACAGACCUAUCGUCCCCACAACAGACCUAUCAACCCACAACAACAGACCAAUCGUCCCCACAACAACAGACCUAUCUCCCCCACAACAACAGACCUAUCGUCCCCACAACAACAGACAUAUCAACCCACAACAACAUACCUAUCAUCCCCACAACAACAGACCUAUCAACCCACAACAACAUACCUAUCAACCCACAACAACAGACCUAUCAACCCACAACAACAGACCUAUCAUCCCCACAACAGACCUAUCAUCCCCAUAACAACAGACCUAUUGUCCCCACAACAAUAGACCUAUCGUCCCCACAACAACAGACAUAUCAACCCACAACAACAGACCUAUCAUCCCCACAACAACAUAUCUCCCCACAACAACAGACCUAUCAACCCACAACAACAGACCUAUCAACCCACAACAACAGACCUAUCAUCCUCACAACAACAGACCUAUCGUCCCCACAACAACAGACCUAUCUCCCCCACAACAACAGACUUAUCCCCACAACAACAGACCUAUCUCCCCACAACAACAGACUUAUCUCCCCGCAACAACAGACCUAUCUCCCCCACAACAACAGACCUAUCUCCCCACAACAACAUAUCUAUCAACCCACAACAACAGACCUAUCUCCCCACAACAACAGACCUAUCAACCCACAACAACAGACCUAUCAUCCCCACAACAACAGACCUAUCAAUCCACAACAACAGACCUAUCUCCCCCACAACAACAGACCUAUCAACCCACAACAACAGAUCUAUCAUCCCCACAACAAUAGACCUAUCGUCCCCACAAUAACAGACCUAUCAACCCACAACAACAGACCUAUUUUGACUGCAAACAUAUAUAAUACAGAUCAACUAUGAUUAGGUUUGCAAAAUUCUGGUAACUCCAGUCUGGACUUCUGGGAAUUUGGCGGAAGUUACUGGAAAUGUUCACCCCUACCUUUGAUGGCUAGAUUGAGUUGAUAUGCAUAAAUUAGUGUUACCACCAUCAUCCACCUGAAUCUGACCACUCCAGCACAGUAGGUCGCGUUCACAUUCUGCUUGUUCCCUCCUGAUUCCAGAAAUCUUCCAACUGGAAUGUCUGGAAAACCUGGGAAUCUUGGGGGAAAGUUACCGGAAUUUUGCAUCCCAAACAGCAAGGUUUUAAUAUGCUGCCGAUAUGAGCUAUUAUUGUCACAGAGCCGAUGCAUUCCUUAGAUUGACUGUAAAUAAUCAACUGCAACGAAAUAAAAAGAGAGAGAAGUUGUCUGUAUGCAGCCAUGUGAAUGGGAAAUAUGUCUGAGGGUGUUAUUACAAAUAUUGGUGGAAAAAAAUCUAUUCUUGUUCACAUGUGAUGAUCCAGUGAAGUAACUUGUAUUUGUUUUUAAAAGCAUUAAAUGAUUUC